GGCCUGAUGGUCUAGAGGUAUGAUUCACCCUUAGGGUGGGUGAGGUCCCGGGUUCGAUUCCCGGUUAGGCCC
rnacentral:tRNA from 1 species